rnacentral:rRNA from 1 species
GAUGAACGCUGGCGGCGUGCUUAACACAUGCAAGUCGAACGGAAAGGCUCCUGCUUGCAGGGGUACUCGAGUGGCGAACGGGUGAGUAACACGUGGGUGAUCUGCCCUGCACUUCGGGAUAAGCCUGGGAGACUGGGUCUAAUACCGGAUAGGACCACAUUUUGGAUGGUGUGGUGGAAAGUUUUGCGGUGUGGGAUGAGCUCGCGGCCUAUCAGCUUGUUGGUGGGGUAAUGGCCUACCAAGGCGUCGACGGGUAGCCGGCCUGAGAGGGUGUACGGCCACAUUGGUCCUGAGAGACGGCCCAGACUCCUACGGGAGGCAGCAGUGGGGAAUAUUGCACAAUGGGCGCAAGCCUGAUGCAGCGACGCCGCGUGGGGGAUGACGGCCUUCGGGUUGUAAACUCCUUUCGCUAGGGACGAAGCGCAAGUGACGGUACCUGGAGAAGAAGCACCGGCUAACUACGUG